rnacentral:rRNA from 1 species
GAUGAACGCUGGCGGCGUGCCUAAUACAUGCAAGUCGAGCGAACAGACGAGGCGCUUGCUCCUCUGACGUUAGCGGCGGACGGGUGAGUAACACGUGGAUACCCUCCCUAUAAGACUGGGAUAACUUCGGGAAACCGGAGCUAAUACCGGAUAAUAUAUUGAACCGCAUGGUUCAAUAGUGAAAGACGGUUUUGCUGUCACUUCUAGAUGGUUCCGCGCCGCUUUAGCUAGUUGGUACGGUAACGGCUUACCAAGGCUACGAUGCGUAGCCGACCUGAGAGGGUGAUCGGCCACACUGGAACUGAGACACGGUCCAGACUCCUACGGGAGGCAGCAGUAGGGAAUCUUCCGCAAUGGGCGAAAGCCUGACGGAGCAACGCCGCGUGAGUGAUGAAGGUCUUCGGAUCGUAAAACUCUGUUAUUAGGGAAGAACAAAUGUGUAAGUAACUAUGCACGUCUUGACGGUACCUAAUCAGAAAGCCACGGCUAACUACGUG